UGUGGGAGCGGGCUUGCUCGCGAAGGCGGCGUGUCAGAUACGUCAAUGUCAACUGACACACCGCCUUCGCGAGCAAGCCCGCUCCCACA
rnacentral:misc_RNA from 1 species